GACGAACGCUGGCGGCGUGCUUAACACAUGCAAGUCGAACGCAGAAGCUUGGUGCUUGCUCUGGGGAGGUUAGUGGCGAACGGGUGAGUAAUACGUGGAUAACCUGCCUUUGAGUCUGGGAUAAGCCUGGGAAACUGGAUCUAAUACUGGAUAAUACAUGUCACCGCAUGGUGGUGUGUGGAAAGGGGUUUAUGGGUUUUGGAUGGGCUCACGGCCUAUCAGCUUGUUGGUGGGGUAAUGGCUCACCAAGGCGACGACGGGUAGCCGGCCUGAGAGGGUGACCGGCCACACUGGGACUGAGACACGGCCCAGACUCCUACGGGAGGCAGCAGUGGGGAAUAUUGCACAAUGGGCGGAAGCCUGAUGCAGCGACGCCGCGUGAGGGAUGACGGCCUUCGGGUUGUAAACCUCUUUCAGCACGGAAGAAGCGAAAGUGACGGUACGUGCAGAAGAAGCGCCGGCUAACUACGUG
rnacentral:rRNA from 1 species